CAGCAGUGAGGAAGGUGGAUAUGUUAAUAGCAUAUUCAUUUGACGUUAGCUGCAGAAGAAGCACCGGCUAACUCCGUGCCAGCAGCCGCGGUAAUACGGAGGGUGCGAGCGUUAAUCGGAAUUACUGGGCGUAAAGCGCAUGCAGGUGGUUUGUUAAGUCAGAUGUGAAAGCCCGGGGCUCAACCUCGGAAUUGCAUUUGAAACUGGCAAACUAGAGUACUGUAGAGGGGGUAGAAUUUCAGGUGUAGCGGUGAAAUGCGUAGAGAUCUGAAGGAAUACCGGUGGCGAAGGCGGCCCCCUGGACAGAUACUGACACUCAGAUGCGAAAGCGUGGGGAGCAAACAGGAUUAGAUACCCUGGUAG
rnacentral:rRNA from 1 species